UGGGGAAUAUUGGACAAUGGGGGCAACCCUGAUCCAGCCAUGCCGCGUGAGUGAUGAAGGCCUUCGGGUUGUAAAGCUCUUUUGGCGGGGACGAUGAUGACGGUACCCGCAGAAUAAGCCCCGGCUAACUUCGUGCCAGCAGCCGCGGUAAGACGAAGGGGGCAAGCGUUGUUCGGAAUUACUGGGUGUAAAGGGCGCGUAGGCGGUUUGCUUAGUCAGGCGUGAAAGCCCUGGGCUUAACCUGGGAUGUGCGCUUGAUACUGGCAGGCUUGAGUGUGGGAGAGGUUGGUGGAAUUCCCAGUGUAGAGGUGAAAUUCGUAGAUAUUGGGAAGAACACCGGUGGCGAAGGCGGCCAACUGGACCACAACUGACGCUGAGGCGCGAAAGCGUGGGGAGCAAACA
rnacentral:rRNA from 1 species